rnacentral:tRNA from 1 species
GGGGGAUGUAGCCAGGGGAAUCAGGGCGGGGUUUGGAAACCCCCCCCAUUGCGCGGUC